GAGUUUGAUCGUGGCUCAGAUUGAACGCUGGCGGCAUGCCUUACACAUGCAAGUCGAACGGUAACAGGUCCUUCGGGAUGCUGACGAGUGGCGAACGGGUGAGUAAUACAUCGGAACGUGCCUAGUAGUGGGGGAGUAACUACUCGAAGGAGUGGCUAAUACCGCAUGAGAUCUAUGGAUGAAAGCAGGGGACCUUCGGGCCUUGUGCUACUAGAGCGGCCGAUGGCAGAUUAGGUAGUUGGUGGGAUAAAAGACUUACCAAGCCUACGAUCUGUAGCUGGUCUGAGAGGACGAUCAGCCACACUGGGACUGAGACACGGCCCAGACUCCUACGGGAGGCAGCAGUGGGGAAUUUUGGACAAUGGGCGCAAGCCUGAUCCAGCAAUGCCGCGUGCAGGAUGAAGGCCUUC
rnacentral:rRNA from 1 species